GUGGGGAAUAUUGCGCAAUGGCCGCAAGGCUGACGCAGCGACGCCGCGUGUGGGAUGAAGGCUCUCGGGUUGUAAACCACUGUCAGGAGGGACGAAUACUCGGCUUCGAAUAGGAGACCGAGGGUGACGGUACCUCCAGAGGAAGCGCCGGCUAACUCCGUGCCAGCAGCCGCGGUAAUACGGGGGGCGCAAGCGUUGUCCGGAAUCACUGGGCGUAAAGCGCGCGUAGGCGGCCAGGUCAGUCACCUGUGAAAUCCCGGAGCUCAACUCCGGGCCUGCAGGUGAUACUGCUUGGCUAGAGCAUGGUAGAGGCAAGUGGAAUUCCCGGUGUAGCGGUGGAAUGCGUAGAUAUCGGGAAGAACACCAGUGGCGAAGGCGGCUUGCUGGGCCAUUGCUGACGCUGAGGCGCGAAAGCGUGGGGAGCAAACAGG
rnacentral:rRNA from 1 species